CCUCCCGUCUCCCUCUCCCUCUCCCGUCUCCCUCUCCCUCUCCCGUCUCCCUCUCCCUCUCCCGUCUCCCUCUCCCUCUCCCGUCUCCCUCUCCCUCUCCCGUCUCCCUCUCCCUCUCCCGUCUCCCUCUCCCUCUCAUGCCGAGCCAAAGCUGGACGGUACUGCUGCCAUCUCGGCUCACUGCAACCUCCCUGCCUGAUUCUCCUGCCUCAGCCUGCCGAGUGCCUGCGAUUGCAGGCGCGCGCCGCCACGCCUGACUGGUUUUCGUUUUUUUUUGGUGGAGAUGGGGUUUCGCUGUGUUGGCCGGGCUGGUCUCCAGCUCCUAACCGCGAGUGAUCCGCCAGCCUCGGCCUCCCGAGGUGCCGGGAUUGCAGAUGGAGUCUCGUUCACUCAGUGCUCAAUGGUGCCCAGGCUGGAGUGCAGUGGCGUGAUCUCGGCUCGCUACAACCACCUCCCAGCCGCCUGCCUUGGCCUCCCAAAGAGCCGAGAUUGCAGCCUCUGCCCGGCCGCCACCCCGUCUGGGAAGUGAGGAGCGUCUCUGCUUGGCCACCCAUCGUCUGGGAUAUGAGGAGCCCCUCUGCCUGGCUGCCCAGUGUGGAAAGUGAGGAGCGUCUCUGCCCGGCCGCCAUCCCAUCUAGGAAGCGAGAAGCGCCUCUUCCCCGCCGCCAUCCCAUCUAGGAAGUGAGGAGCGUCUCUGCCCGGCCGCCCAUCGUCUGAGAUGUGGGGAGCACCUCUGCCCCACCGCCCUGUCUGGGAUGUGAGGAGCGCCUCUGCUGGGCCGCAACCCUGUCUGGGAGGUGAGGAGUGUCUCUGCCCGGCCGCUCCGUCUGAGAAGUGAGGAAACCCUCUGCCUGGCAACCGCCCCGUCUGAGAAGUGAGGAGCCCCUCCGUCUGGCAACCACCCCGUCUGGGAAGUGAGGAGCGUCUCCGCCCGGCAGCCACCCCGUCCGGGAGGGAGGUGGGGGGGGUCAGCCCCCCGCCCGGCCAGCCGCCCCGUCCGGGAGGGCGGUGGGGGGGUCAGCCCCCCGCCCGGCCAGCCGCCCCAUCUGGGAGGUGAGGGGCACUUCUGCCGGGCCGCCCCUACUGGGAAGUGAGGAGCCCCUCUGCCCGGCCACGACCCCGUCUGGGAGGUGUGCCCAGCGGCUCA
rnacentral:lncRNA from 1 species